GAACUUAGCAGGCUCCUGUGGCCCGGUGCCUCUUCUGGCUCUAGAAAUCUGGGGAGGUGACCAGGUCAUACGUGGCAGUCCUCCUGUGAAGACAGUGAAGCUGGUUGAAACCUGGGGUUCCGAGGGGAAGAUGUGUUCACCAGGUGAUCUCCCUGCUCUGCCCCGGUGGCCCCCAUGGCUGCCUGCUGCCCGUGCACCCCCACUCAGCCAGGGUUGGACUUUCCAAACUUGCUGAGUGUGUUCGACCAAAGGUAAUGCUGACUUAGUGGCCUGAGGUCGUGCCGUCCCUCCCCCCCACCAAAUCAAUAAAUAAUGCGACUUAUCAGAAAGAGAAAGAAUUGUUUACUUUUAAACCCUGGAUCCCAUAAAGGGAGAGGGGAGAGGCCUAAAAGCCACAGAAGCUGUGGACGGCGCCGUCCUGCCUGCCACAGGAGGGGCCCUGGCUGAGAGGAUCGGAGCCCACCCAGGAUUAUUCAAAGCCAAAAGCCAACAGAGCCCCCAUGAAGAAGUGGAGGAUGCCCAGAUGCUGCUAUAAAGCCCUGAGGAGUGAAAUGAAUCCAAGCCCUUGCCCAGGAUAGCGCUCUCUAAGCACAUCCUUCAGGGACCCUUCUAACCAGUGAAAUGUUCACCUCUCACUGUUUCUUCCCAACUGAGCUAAGAGACUUCUAGAGCCUCUUGUGAUGGUCAGCAAUAGCCCUGGCAUGACCAGGAGGUGUGGGUUUCUGUUCUAGGUCCCUUAGCAAAGACUAAGCAGGACAAGCCUGGCUACUGUGUUAGGAGGAGCCGUAGGGAAAGGGAAGGACAAGAUGGGCCACCACACACCUGUGUCCCCUGCUGGGCUGCCCUCAGAGUUUGUGGCAGCAACUGGGGCCACCUAGAACCCUAGGGUUCACAGUCAUUCUCUCUGAGUCAUGUAAAGCUGCCCAGGAGAUGAGGUCCACCUGAGGAGAGUAUGUCUAAACAGGCCAUUGGCAUUUCCUGCUUGCAAAUGACCACAUUUCAUGAAACAAAACCAGGCCACAGACAGGAACCAAAGGAAAUCAGUUACUUAAUGGAAGAUAAGGAAUCCAUAAAGUGAAAAAGGUAAAGAAGAAAAAAGAGGCAGCUUCAACACUCCAACUCCACGGAAGCAGAACGACUCUCAGCUUUCUUAGGGGGUAGUCACUGCAAGUCUAGCUUGAAGAGGGUGAUUUCAUGAUCUACAUGUGAAUAAGGCGCAUUUUUUUCUGAAAAGUACAGAACGGUUCAUUUUCAGCUGUUAAAGAUGGGCCGGUUUUAGGGCUAGAGCAAGGCUCUGGUCAAAUGUUAACAACCCAGUUAACCUGGGGAAAAAAUAACUGGCUCCCAGCCCUUUCCCUUUUCAGCAUUUGCAGGAAAAGCAGGAGUGGGUAAAAUGCUUUAUUUCCUCUCAUUCUCCAUGGUGGGCAGGAGUUCACGUAUCAGUCAGAAACCAUUUUUAACAGGAAAACCAAGUAAAUCCUGUAGGGAUUUAUUUAGAGCUCCCUUUUUGUGAGAAAAUGAGUAUCACAAACUAAAAAUGACUCAUUUCCUGUCUCUCCAUCUUCCUCCCUUUCUUCUCUCCCCUCAUCUCCCACCCAUCACUAUGGUGGAAAAUGACUACGGUGAAGAUCAUGAAAAUUUGAGCAAGAUCAGAUGCCACAGAGAGUAGAUCACAACACAUCUAACUGCUGGAUCCCCAUAUCAAAUAAUUGUAAUUUUCCUAGACUGCAGAAUUGAUCACAUUUUACCGAUGAUGGAUUGGGAAGUAUGGUGAGGAGAUGAGAGCUGGAGAGCAUUCAUUCAUUCAUUCAGUCAGAUUAUUCUCAUUGACAGCGUGGUCUUCCACAUUAUAAACUAAGUAUUGAUGUCCUGAAAUCUAUUCCCUCUAGAGAUUCUUUUUCUCUGAGCCAUUUUAGAAAAUUGUUGCAAACGGAGUUCCUGUCUGUUUUCACAGGAAGUUUUUGCAGAAGGGGUUUUUGGGUGGUUGUGGAACACAGGCACUGGGCCCCUUCACUACUCUACCCUUCCAGAACACAGAAGCCUUUCAUCUGUGAGUCUUCAUCUCUUCCCAUUGCUCAAGACGCUUGCACCUGUGAUGCUUCUUUUCUCUGCUCAUGUCAUAACAUGUGGAGCUGAUAAGGUUCCCUUGUGGCGGUCCGUGACAAUGGUGGAAUGUGGAGGUGAAGUUAACACCUUUGUGGCUACAGAUUUUCCUUAGCAGAGCUGUGGAGUGUGACAAUGGUGUUUGUGUCUAAACUAUCAAACGCCAUUAUCACACUAAAUAGCUACUGCUAGGCAAUCCUUCCCUCGAUAAAUGUCUUGGCAUCAUUCGCUUUGAGCAAGAAGGUUCAUCUGAUAUCAGUGUUCCCAAUCUUUUGUACUUACUGAAUAAAGUCUGGUUCUCUUGAGCUCAUAACCAAUAUGAUUAGCUGAACCCUGCCUCUCACAUGCUAUUGUUACAUACCUUAGCUGGUGAUGAAUUUCUUUGUUUUCCCAAGUCAAUAAAAAGAUUGCAGACUGUG